UAGAGGAACCAUGUGUAUCUAGAUACAGGGACUCCAUCACCAUAGAGAAACCAUAUGUAUCUAGAUACAGGGACUCCAACACCAUAGAGGAACCAUAUGGAUUUAGAUACAGGGACUCCAUCACCAUAGAGGAACCAUGUGUAUCUAGAUACAGGGACUCCAACACCAUAGAGGAACCAUAUGGAUUUAGAUACAGGGACUCCAUCACCAUAGAGGAACCAUGUGUAUCUAGAUACAGGGACUCCAACACCAUAGAGGAACCAUGUGUAUCUAGAUACAGGGACUCCAACACCAUAGAGGAACCAUGUGUAUCUAGAUACAGGGACUCCAACACCAUAGAGGAACCAUAUGGAUUUAGAUACAGGGACUCCAUCACCAUAGAGGAAUCAUGCGUUUUAGUUUGAAACGAUUCGGUGCGAUGCAUUAACAUGUGUUGCAUAAAAACACAUUCGUUUUCCAUUCUAAAUUAAAACCUGCUGCUGAUGGAGCUCCUGAGGGCUGAGUGGGCUUCUGAGUGGGCUCCCGAGUGGGCUUCUGAGUGGGCUUCUGAGUGGGCUUCUGAGUGGGCUCCCGAGUGGGCUUCUGAGUGGGCUUCUGAGUGGGCUUCCGAGUGGGCUUCCGAGUGGGCUUCCGAGUGGGCUUCCGAGUGGGCUCCUGAGUGGGCUCCUGAGUGGGCUCCUGAGUGGGCUUCUGAGUGGGCUCCCGAGUGGGCUUCUGAGUGGGCUUCUGAGUGGGCUCCCGAGUGGGCUUCUGAGUGGGCUUCUGAGUGGGCUUCCGAGUGGGCUUCCGAGUGGGCUUCCGAGUGGGCUUCUGAGUGGGCUUCUGAGUGGGCUCCUGAGUGGGCUUCUGAGUGGGCUUCUGAGUGGGCUUCUGAGUGGUGUAGCGGUCAAGGGCACUGUGUCUCAGUGCAAGAGGCGAAUACUAUAGUCUCUUAUUCGAAUCCAGGCUGAAUCACAUCCGGCCGUGAUUGGGAAUCCCAUAGGGCGGUGCACAAUUGGCUCAGCGUCGGUCGGUGUAGGCCGUCAUUGUAGCCUGAUUUGUCUCCCUAUUUUAGUCCUGAGAUCACCAUCAGCCACUAAUGAACUUUUCAUGUUUUGCUGAUACAUUUUUCAACGGCGGAUAGAUAACAAUAACCUAGCAAAUGACAUGGGUUGUCCCUCAACUAAUAAAGCCUACUGUCCAGCCAGGUCCCUCAACUAAUAAAGCCUACUAUCCAGCCAGGUCCCUCAACUAAUAAAGCCUACUAUCCAGCCAGGUCCCUCAACUAAUAAAGCCUACUAUCCAGCCAGGUCCCUCAACUAAUAAAGCCUACUAUCCAGCCAGGUCCCUCAACUAAUAAAGCCUACUAUCCAGCCAGGUCCCUCAACUAAUAAAGCCUACUAUCCAGCCAGGUCCCUCAACUAAUAAAGCCUACUAUCCAGCCAGGUCACCCAACUAAUAAAGCCUACUAUCCAGCCAGGUCCCUCAACUAAUAAAGCCUACUAUCCAGCCAGGUCCCUCAACUAAUAAAGCCUACUAUCCAGCCAGGUCCCUCAACUAAUAAAGCCUACUAUCCAGCCAGGUCCCUCAACUAAUAAAGCCUACCAUCCAGCCAGGUCACCCAACUAAUAAAGCCUACUAUCCAGCCAGGUCACCCAACUAAUAAAGCCUACUAUCCAGCCAGGUCCCUCAACUAAUAAAGCCUACUAUCCAGCCAGGUCACCCAACUAAUAAAGCCUACUAUCCAGCCAGGUCACCCAACUAAUAAAGCCUACUAUCCAGCCAGGUCCCUCAACUAAUAAAGCCUACUAUCCAGCCAGGUCCCUCAACUAAUAAAGCCUACUAUCCAGCCAGGUCACCCAACUAAUAAAGCCUACUAUCCAGCCAGGUCACCCAACUAAUAAAGCCUACUAUCCAGCCAGGUCCCUCAACUAAUAAAGCCUACUAUCCAGCCAGGUCCCUCAACUAAUAAAGCCUACUAUCCAGCCAGGUCACCCAACUAAUAAAGCCUACUAUCCAGCCAGGUCCCUCAACUAAUAAAGCCUACUAUCCAGCCAGGUCCCUCAACUAAUAAAGCCUACUAUCCAGCCAGGUCCCUCAACUAAUAAAGCCUACUAUCCAGCCAGGUCACCCGUCAUACAAGUCAGUGUUUGACGUCUGUCCAUGUCUGAGGAUGUCGAGAGAUGACGUGGAAACUGGCCUCUAGGGGGCAACAGUGAGCGUUGUUACCUUC